rnacentral:misc_RNA from 1 species
GGAUGCAAACUCUCGUAAGAAUGUCAGUCCUUAAUAGUUCUCGUCGGUGAUACCGGCUACUAUUCAACUACACACACCGUGUUAUCCCUUCCAGCAUGGUAUAGCGCAUGAUCGUACAAACAUACGCGCAAUCUAUAUUUACUAUGCGUUAUGUCGUCGCUCUUCCCCGUUGCUACCACCUCGUCAGCCUCGUCUUCGCGUUCGCCCCUGUUCAGUGUUCGCCCCCGCUCCCGGCUCCCGUCCGAUCGUGGGUUUGCGACCAACGUCGCUUGCAAGUUGCAACGGCGACCGCCGCGCUAGUUUGACUGGUUUGACGUUUCCGUCACGAGUGGUGAGAGGUGCGCGAUCUGGCACGAUCGCAGCGGCGACGGUAGAACGGCAGAAGCAGAAGCAGAAGCAAGCGAGCUCGAUUUGUUUCGCGUCUAUUACGUGGCUCUUGCCAAUUUUGACUGGGCGAUUACGACCGAUCCAACGGCAUCGAUAAUUUCCUCGGAUUCCCUUUCCUCACGAACGACGGUCGUCACACCAUCGUUCGCCCUCUCAUCUGUAUGCCUUGCGUACGCCCCCACCGUCGCCGAUUUUCCAUGAAUGUUGAUAUCGUCUUCCCACAACCGUUGGUGAUGCAAAUAUCCUUCCUUGAUUUGAAGUCUGCAAGAUGGUUCUCAUUGUCCAGUUCCAAUUUUAGCUGAGAUUAAUACAGAAAUAGCGAAACGAAUACAGUCCAGCUUGGUGGUAAUGCGGGGAUGUGGAUCUGUUUCGACCCAAUAGGAAGCCGAAUAGGCUGGGUUACUUCCAUUUCGUUCGUCAUACUCUUGUAUUGGACCUCUAUUGAUGCCAGCCUAACGAAUGCAGCGGCGUCCAAUGUCCCUCGUAAUACUGUCACGUCGGAUAUAUCGAUACCCGCGUCGGCACACCACGAGAACGACGAAUGCAGGAAUGUGACCACUGACAAUAGAGAGGGUACUGGACUGUCAGUGGUCAGCCAUGGAUCCGGUUAUCCUCAUUCGCCGAUAGUGCCUCCAACCUUUCUGAACGGAGCUCUUACCUGCCAACCCUAUCAAGGAAUUUACGUGAAUCACAUCUACUUUCAACUCGCAAAUGCCUUCUUCCUAUUGUCACACCUUGCACCAAGCGGCAUACAUGGUGUACUUUAUUUAAGGUGCACUCUACUUGUGGGCUGUGCCUUUCUUGCUUUGUGGGGCUGGACAAUAGCUUGCUGGCUGGAUGCUGCUCUCUGGAAUGCUCUAUUUGUUGCCAUCAACUUCGUCCAUGUAUGCACGCUUCUUUACAAGCUCAGGCCUAUCAAGUUUACAAGGGAAAUUGAAGAGGUAUAUGUUGCAGUAUUCCAGCCAUUACGAGUGUCACGUCAUCAAUUCAGAAAAGUAUUAAAUUGUAUGAAGAUCAUUCGCCAGUUGAAGUAUCAAGAGGUUUAUGCACAAGAAAAAGUGACCAAAGUUGAUUCUUUAUCGUUGGUGCUGUCGGGAAAACUAGUUGUAUCACAAAAUGGAAGAGCAUUGCAUAUCGUCUUCCCACAUCAGUUCCUGGAUUCUCCAGAAUGGUUUGGUGUCUCGACAGAUGAAUACUUCCAGGUGUCUAUAACAGCUAUGGAAGAGUCAAGAAUACUAUUAUGGCAUAGAGACAAACUAAAAUUAAGCAUUAUUAGCGAUCAAUUCCUGCAGGCAGUGUUUGAUCACAUUUUGGGCAGAGAUGUAGUUAAAAAAUUGAUGCAGGUGAGUGAAACGAUGGCUGCUAGCAGUCAUCAGCAACAGAAUGGACAGAUAAUUGGUCUGGGUGGUAUUGGAGCCUUAGAAAAUGAUCCUGAUACAAAACUUUUUGUUGUAAAAAAGACUGGUGAUAGUCAAGGGAUUACUGCUCUCAUCAGUCGUCAACUUCAAGAGAGAAUGCCGCUGCUGUACACGAAUCAAGAAGUAUUGAAUAAUACGCUUCACCAUACGAACCUAUGUGUACCACCCUGUACAUUUCUCCCGCAUCCUAUAUCGAACAGCGUUCAGACUUCGCUGUAAUAUCCUUGCCUACCGAUCGUACAACACUCUAGCACAAAAAUCGUAUGUGAUGUACAUGUAUGUUCCUGCAAUGGAUGCAUAUAUAUUACACAAAUGUCGCAGAGUAAUUCCAUUAAUUAUUCUUCCUGGAUAUUGUAUCAAGAGCGGCAGGAGAUCCGAAUGCUUGGAGAUUGGGAAGAAUCGAAGAGACUGAUCACGAAACACCUGUUUAAUGAAA